GAGGGGAUAGCUCAGGGGUAGAGUGCGUGCCUAGCAUGCACCAGGUCCUGGGUUCAAUACCCAGCACCUCU
rnacentral:tRNA from 1 species